GAGCCCAGAUGGUCAUCUGAGACGAGAGGUGGCGGCGAAGGAGAGUCUCGCCUGUCACGCUCCCGGAGCAGGGGCUUCAUGAGGUGGCCAUGGAAACAGCCUGGCAGACUCCCAUCUCUCCUGGUGCCAUCUCCGGAGCGGAAAGUGGAGCGCCCCGCUGGCGACCAAGGCCGCACUGAGAGCCCUGGUUUGGUCAACAGUUGGGCUCCAAGGUACCACUUCCCAGACCUCCAGCCUCCCCACUGAUGAUAGAUACACAAAGGUCAUCUUGUUUCUUUAUGAGGCAAUGGAUUGUGUUCACCUAGCCGAGUUGUUAAGCAUAAGAGAAUGUAUGAAAAGUAAUUACAAGGUUCAAAAUCCUGAGCUUUGAUAAAUGAUAGAUAUGAUGAUGAGCACAUGUUAGUGAUAUUACUGCUCUGCGGGACGUCUGAAUCAGUAAUUGCUGUCUUUUAAGCAUCUGUUGUGUGCCAAAUACUGCACUAGGCACUUUACGGGCAUUGCUCUUGUUUAAGUCGUCUGGUCAAAGUUGCCUAGACAAUAAACAGCAGAGCAAGGAUUUUAACCCAGGUACAGCUGACACUGCUGCCUCUAUGCUUAGCAGUUAAACUGGUUUUUAUGUUUCUUGUUUGUACACCCCUCCUUCACCAGUCACUUGUAGAUUCACCUUGUGAAGAGCUAAUUCUUCCCUCUAAUAAUAAUACUCUUUGACCAUUUACUAUAUGUCAAACCGUAUUUUAAGGACUUUAAAGGUAUUAAUUCGUUUAAUCUUCACAGCAAUCCUGUGAGUAGGUAUUAUUAAUACCUUCACUAAGACACAGGCUUAGAAAAGUCGAUUAACUUUUCCAAGGUCAAACAACCAUUAAGGAGCAGAGCCAGAUUCAAACCCAAGCAGACAGAACCCUGAACCUGUGUUUUUAAUUCCUGUUUUAAACUGCCUCGGUAGUACGGUAAGACUUCAUUAGCGCUAGGUCCAUGCCUGUUUGUGCACCAUUAUUUCCCUGACAGCCAGCAUGGUACUUGUUCAAUAUUUGAACAUUUGAUGAAUAUUUGAACACUGGAAAAGGAAAAAGCUUAAAAAUGAAGUAUAA
rnacentral:lncRNA from 1 species